AGUCUGCUCUCGCCGUUUUUAUUUGGGGUCGUCCCCAAAGGCCACGUGGUGGGGAAACAGGGCCGGGGACACAAUGGUGGCACAGUGACCAGCCGUCCGGGCCCUGGCUAAUCACUAGAAACACCUGGAGGAACUCGUUGAAGGAAACAAAGGCAAAAUACAGCAUUGACCUUGCACCUACUGGGGGAACAGAAAACUCAGGUGGCUGCUCUGACAAAGUUCCUCCGACUUCCAAGUUGUAGGGGAGGGGUGAUCCAGCGCGCUUUCCCCAUCCUCCACGUCACUCCCCGCUCCACACAGCGCUCUUGCUUGGUGAUCUCACCCUUUGUCGACCCAAGAACAGUCAUCGCAUUGUUUCAUCCUCAGCCUAACUCGACUCCCCUUACAUUUUUACCGCUAAAUUGAAUCUACUGCCAGUAAUCUAAUUUACAUUUGAAGGCACACACAAUGCCAACACAACCAAAUGCCAAUAAAAUUUCUAGUAAAACCCA